rnacentral:rRNA from 1 species
CAAUAGCGUAUAUUAAAGUUGUUGCAGUUAAAAAGCUCGUAGUCGGAUUUUGGCAUCACGCCGAACUGUCUGCCGAUUGGUAAGUACGGUUUGGCGGGUGCUUCUUUCUUGAAGCUCGUUCCCUUCUUAACUGAAGGGUUCGUUGGUUCAGGUUCUUUUACUUUGAGAAAAUUAGAGUGUUCAAAGCAGGCCUAUGCUCUGAAUAUUUCAGCAUGGAAUAACACUAUAGGACUCCUGUCCUAUUUCGUUGGUCCCGGGACGGGAGUAAUGAUUAAGAGGAACAGUUGGGGGCAUUCGUAUUUCAUUGUCAGAGGUGAAAUUCUUGGAUUUAUGAAAGACGAACUUCUGCGAAAGCAUUUGCCAAGGAUGUUUUCAUUA